UCGGAUAUGGUGUAAAGGCUAACAUUACCGCCUCUCAAUUCUCUCGGAUUGAUCGCGGUAGCUCGGGGUUCGAUUCCCCGUAUCCGAG